rnacentral:rRNA from 1 species
UACGUAGGGGGGCUAGCGUUGUCCGGAAUCAUUGGGCGUAAAGAGCGCGUAGGCGGCCAGAUAAGUCCGGUGUGAAAGUCACAGGCUCAACCUGUGAAUGCCGCUGGAAACUGUCUGGCUUGAGUCCGGGGAGGGGCGAGUGGAAUUCCUGGUGUAGCGGUGAAAUGCGCAGAUAUCAGGAGGAACACCAAUGGCGAAGGCAGCUCGCUGGAACGGUACUGACGCUGAGGCGCGAAAGCGUGGGGAGCAAACAGG